GCCGGCGACGCUUUAGCAUGCGGGGAGCUGCGAGACACACGCUCCCGGGCGGGCGAGUGAGGCGGGACGGUUCGCGGGCUCGUUGACACUGCAGAGCCGCCCGCAGCAGCACCGCCGCCUACCGACUAUUUGUUUUUUCCUCGGAUCGCCUGUCAAACGCCACACCUAGCAGCCUCAGCGAUUUCUGGCGGAGCCGCGGAGGGGACCCCGUGGCACUGGAGGCAGCUCAACCCUGCCGAGCCUCGGAAAGUCUCCUGGGUGGGAGAGCUCCUGCACCUCCGGCUCACUUUUCCCCUGUUUACUUAAGUUUCCAAAACUAAAACAAGUCACCGGCUACCCUGAUGUAGGGCAUCUUCUGAAUACAGUGCUAACAGUCCAGGUGCUGGAUUCUGCAAGGAAGAGAAAACAUGUAAGGGCAAAGGAAAAAUAAUUUGAAAAGAGCAGUUGUCUGAGAUGACUCCUUUGGCUGCAGAAGUUCCAGAGUAAUAAAUGAUGAGAGGGCUGUGUUAUACAGCAGAGAGUCUUUCUGACCA